rnacentral:tRNA from 1 species
GCCCUGGUGGUGUAGCCUGGCCUAUCAUGAAGCCCUGUCGCGGCUUCGACCCGGGUUCAAAAGUAUUAAGCUGAAAGUCCCGGCCAGGGCG